rnacentral:rRNA from 1 species
UACAGAGGGUGCAAGCGUUAAUCGGAAUUACUGGGCGUAAAGCGUGCGUAGACGGUUAUGUAAGUCGUGUGUGAAAGCCCCGGGCUCAACCUGGGAAUGCCAUUCGAGACUGCAUAGCUAGGGUGCGGAAGAGGGAAGCGGAAUUUCCGGUGUAGCGGUGAAAUGCGUAGAUAUCGGAAGGAACACCAGUGGCGAAAGCGGCUUCCUGGUCCAGCACAGACGUUCAGGCACGAAAGCGUGGGGAGCAAACAGG